AGUGAACGCUGGCGGUAGGCCUAACACAUGCAAGUCGAACGGCAGCACAGUAAGAGCUUGCUCUUACGGGUGGCGAGUGGCGGACGGGUGAGGAAUACAUCGGAAUCUACUUUUUCGUGGGGGAUAACGUAGGGAAACUUACGCUAAUACCGCAUACGACCUACGGGUGAAAGCAGGGGAUCUUCGGACCUUGCGCGAUUGAAUGAGCCGAUGUCGGAUUAGCUAGUUGGCGGGGUAAAGGCCCACCAAGGCGACGAUCCGUAGCUGGUCUGAGAGGAUGAUCAGCCACACUGGAACUGAGAAACGGUCCAGACUCUUACGGGAGGCAGCAGUGGGGAAUAUUGGACAAAGGGCGAAAGCCUGAUCCAGCCAUACCGCGUGGGUGAAGAAGGCCUUCGGGUUGUAAAGCCCUUUUGUUGGGAAAGAAAAGCAGCAGGUUAAUACCCCGCUGUUCUGACGGUACCCAAAGAAUAAGCACCGGCUAACUUCGUG
rnacentral:rRNA from 1 species